GCCCCUGUGGCGCAGUGGGUUAGCGCUUAGUUCUUAUACCUCUACAAAGUUUAGAGAUAUGCUAGGGUCGUCAGUUCGAACCUGACCAGGGGCA